rnacentral:rRNA from 1 species
GACGUAGGGCGCAAGCGUUAUCCGGAAUUAUUGGGCGUAAAGAGCUUGUAGGCGGUCUGUCGCGUCUGCUGUGAAAAUCCGGGGCUCAACCCCGGACUUGCAGUGGGUACGGGCAGACUAGAGUGUGGUAGGGGAGACUGGAAUUCCUGGUGUAGCGGUGAAAUGCGCAGAUAUCAGGAGGAACACCGAUGGCGAAGGCAGGUCUCUGGGCCACUACUGACGCUGAGAAGCGAAAGCAUGGGGAGCGAACAGG